GAGAUAACUAGAUAGGAAAAGGAACUGCAGAACCUAGAACUAGAAAGUUACUCAGGAAGAGACCAGAAGGGUGAAAGUUUAAGGUAGCUCAGUCGACAAUAGAGUAAACUUAACCACCGAGAGUAAAAGAGAUCUUACUCAAGGAUGCAGAAGGUAAUCUCACUUUUGACACCCACUGUUCUCGAUGAGAAAAA
ncrna:unclassified sequences IMES-1 RNA motif